rnacentral:rRNA from 1 species
GACGAACGCUGGCGGCGUGCCUAAUACAUGCAAGUAGGACGCAGUUGCGAACGGGUGAGUAACGCGUAGGUAACUACCUAAUAUAGGGGGAUAACUAUUGGAAACGAUAGCUAAUACCGCAUACUAGUAGAUGGACCUGCGUUGUAUUAGCGAGUAAGUAGGGUACUGGCCUACAGAGGCAACGAGACAUAGCCGACCUGACAGUGUGAGCGGCCACACGUGGACUGGGACACGGCCAAGAGUGCAACGGGAGGCAGCAGUAGGGAAUCUGCGGAAAUGGGGGGAACACUGACGGAGCAACGCCGCGUGGGUGAAGAAGGUUUUCGGAUCGUAAAGCUCUGUUGUUAAGGAAGCGGUACUUAACCAGAAAGGGACGGCUAACUACGUGCCAGCAGCCGCGGUAAUAC